rnacentral:rRNA from 1 species
CUUCGACGGUACCAGAAGAAAUAAAGCACCGGCUAACUCCGUGCCAGCAGCCGCGGUAAUACGGAGGGUGCAAGCGUUAUCCGGAUUUCACUGGGUUUAAAGGGUGCGUAGGCGGGUAGGUAAGUCAGUGGUGAAAUCCUGGAGCUCAACUCCAGAACUGCCAUUGAUACUAUCUGUCUUGAAUAUUGUGGAGGUAAGCGGAAUAUGUCAUGUAGCGGUGAAAUGCUUAGAUAUGACAUAGAACACCUAUUGCGAAGGCAGCUUACUACGCAUAUAUUGACGC